GGGCAGGUAGCUCAGUCGGUACGAGCGUCCGCCUGAAAAGCGGAAGGUCGGCGGUUCGACCCCGCCCCUGCCCACCC
rnacentral:tRNA from 2 species